rnacentral:tRNA from 1 species
GGGGUUAUAGCUCAGAUGGUUAGAGCGCAGUGUUGACAUCGCUGAGGUCUGAGGUUCGAUUCCUCAUAACCCCA